ensembl:snoRNA SNORA71 Small nucleolar RNA SNORA71
CCCUGAAUUCGGAAGCAAUUAUGGGCUGCCUGUACCUUGGUCAUAGAUACUUCAGGGAGAGGAUGCUGGAAGCCUUACCCUGCAUUUGGAAGGUCCAUUCCUGUCCUUGCCAAACCCUAGUGCUUUGGAACA